rnacentral:tRNA from 1 species
CCUCCCGUAGCUCAGUGGAUAGAGCACAGGUUUCCGGUACCUGGUGUCGCACGUUCGAUUCGUGUCGGGAGGA